UGGAAUCUAAAUUCCACUCAAAUGACAAGUCAACCCUGUGAAUUAAAACUCCAAAUGGUUUUAUAAAGCAAUUAAAUCAACAUAUAUGUACUUUUUUGGGAGCUUGGAAAGGACUUCAAGACAAAUACCAAACCCUGGUCCCAUCAGUAACUAUAGAACUAUAUGCAAUAGCAUGCAAAUUCCUGCCAGUAACUAUAUAAACUGGAUGUGGUCCUGUGAGUAACUGUAAAAUACAUGCAGUAACAGGGAAAGGUCUCAGCAAAGUGGGAAAAGCACAGAUGUGCAAACACAGCUGAGAAAAAUGUGUGUGGUUCAUUCACUUGUUUGCCAGAGUGUUGUUACUUCAGCACAUUAUUUACAGAUAAAAAAUGGCACAUCCUUGCAGUCAUGUGGCUCCUCAGCUCCCUCUUUAUAAUCCAGGUUAACCAGCAAUUCUGGGCAGAAAUAAUUUGGCUACUUUGGUGCUCAGCUCUUGGCCCAGGAAAACUCCUUUAUUCGGAGGAAGAAGCAGCCAGGAGGGAAACCCAGCUCCCAAGGCUCCUUGGUCUGACAACUUAAACAGAAAGUCUUUCAGGCCCUGGACUCUCUUCAUGCAUUUUGUACUGAACCUGCCUCCAGGCAAAAGGGAGAAAAUGAGCAGAGAAUCAGAACAUUCCUGCAGCCACGAAAACUCCUCUCCCCAGCCGUGAGCUCUGCCAGGCUCUCCAGCACUGCACUGAAGUUUUCCUUUCCUGUUUUGACCUCUUGCAACUCCUGCUAAGGGAAAAACACUCAAGGACCAUUUUUGGAGUUGAAAUGCUCUGACAUAAUAGAGGGCAAGGGAUUGGAAAAGUUUUGGGCUUGUACAGUUUCCAUAGUGGGAGGAAGGAAAGAAGAGUUUAUGGGGUGCAUGAACCAUCAGGGAUCUGCACAGGGCAGGAUGGUCAUGAGCAGAAUGUACUGUCAUUAAAAUGAUGAAAGAUAAUUCUAACUCCUCUAAAAAUAAAAUAUUUCCUGAUAGCUCUCCACGGAUAAGCUUUGGGAUCAAUGUGGCCUCACUAUUUUGAUUUGUACCCUCAAAAUCCAUUCUGAGGGACAGAUUUUGCACAUCAUCUUACCUUUCACUUAAUGUUAUGUACUUAAUAUAUAAACAUACAGCAACACCUGAGGGAGCCUGCUGUACUUCAGCAGGAAUCCACCUGUUCUGACAGGGCUGUUUUUCAAGCAGAUGGGCCCGUGAUGGAUUAUCUGCCCCUGGCCCAUCGCAGCAUCUUCCUGAACAAUUUGCUCAGAUGUUUAUAAUGGGAUUUUCCUGCUUGCACAACACUUGCACAUCCCCAGGACAAAGUGGCCUUCUGCUGAAAAGUCACCCAGCCUGAGAAGUUUGUUUCUCUGCUGGGAAAGAGCCUUCCCGAGCCCGUGUCCCAGUGGGAUCUGGGCAUGACCCUUUGGAAGAGGUUGGCAUGUGGUGCUCCAGAGAUAACAAAACAAGCACAGCCUCCUCCAGGGUCAUCUCUCACACCCA
rnacentral:lncRNA from 1 species